rnacentral:rRNA from 1 species
GACGAACGCUGGCGGCGUGCUUAACACAUGCAAGUCGAACGGAAAGGCCCUGCUUUUGUGGGGUGCUCGAGUGGCGAACGGGUGAGUAACACGUGAGUAACCUGCCCUUGACUUUGGGAUAACUUCAGGAAACUGGGGCUAAUACCGGAUAGGAGCUCCUGCUGCAUGGUGGGGGUUGGAAAGUUUCGGCGGUUGGGGAUGGACUCGCGGCUUAUCAGCUUGUUGGUGGGGUAGUGGCUUACCAAGGCUUUGACGGGUAGCCGGCCUGAGCGGGUGACCGGCCACAUUGGGCCUGAGAUACGGCCCAGACUCCUACGGGAGGCAGCAGUGGGGAAUAUUGCACAAUGGGCGGAAGCCUGAUGCAGCAACGCCGCGUGCGGGAUGACGGCCUUCGGGUUGUAAACCGCUUUCGCCUGUGACGAAGCGUGAGUGACGGUAAUGGGUAAAGAAGCACCGGCUAACUACGUG